rnacentral:rRNA from 1 species
GCAGCCGCGGUAAUACGUAGGGGGCUAGCGUUAUCCGGAAUUACUGGGCGUAAAGGGUGCGUAGGUGGUUUCUUAAGUCAGAGGUGAAAGGCUACGGCUCAACCGUAGUAAGCCUUUGAAACUGGGAAACUUGAGUGCAGGAGAGGAGAGUGGAAUUCCUAGUGUAGCGGUGAAAUGCGUAGAUAUUAGGAGGAACACCAGUUGCGAAGGCGGCUCUCUGGACUGUAACUGACACUGAGGCACGAAAGCGUGGGGAGCAAACAGGAUUAGAUACCCC